UUGAAGAAGAGGGCGGGGAACAUCAUAAAGGACUCCUUCCAUCCUGCGCACGGACUGUUUGAACUGCUUCCGUCUGGUAGGCGCUUCAGAUCCCUCUAGACUAAGACUAAUAGGCACUGGAGAAGUUUUUUCCUUACUGCGGUCACUUUGCUGAACAGUUAACUGCCGGUUAACUGUCGGCUAACUAUUACUUGGAUUGCACUACUUGUAUGUAUAAUCUAUAUUUUCAUUUAUAUUUAUCAUCUGUUAUGAGCAGAGAGACAACAUCUGCCGGAAGUAAAUUUCUUGUAUGUGUACAGGUACUUGGCGAUUAAAGUCUGAUUCUGAUUCUGAUAAUAGAAUCAUAUUUCCCCCUACUCCAAUUAAAUGCUUUCCCAAAUUGUCUGCUCCUAUCCCUCUCCAGCACUAUGGUGAAGGAGACAGAACUGUGUUCUCCACCUCCACAAUAUUCCCCCUCUGAGAGACCUAACACCUGACCAGGUUCAUUUCCCAAUACCAGAUCAAGUACAGCCUCUCCUCUAGUUGGCUUAUCUACAUAUUGUGUCAGGAAACCUUACAAACUCCAUCCCAUCUAAACUUCCUUGCGCUCAGAAAAAGUUAAAUUCUCCCAUCAAAACCAUCCUUAUAUUAUUAGGAUGGAUAAGUCCCAAGAUCAAACAAGGUGCUUCCUCUGACCUUGUAGGAGGCUUGUGCAUAGAUUGCAGGGGCCCUAGCAAUGGUAUUUAAAACAUUCUUAGCAAUGGAUGAGGUGCCAUAGAACUGGCAGAUAGCUAAUGUUGUUCUGUUGUUCAAGAAAUGCUCUAAGGAAAAGCCAGGAAAUUCUAGGACAGGGACUGAGUAGGGAUAGUCUACAUGGCUUUGUGCAUGGUAAGUCAUGUCCAACCAACCUUACAGAGUUUUUUGAGGAAGUUACCAGGAAAGUUGAUGAAGGCAAGGUGGUGGAUUUCAAAAAGGCCGACUCGGUCCCGCAUGGGAGGCUAGUCAGGAAGCUUCAGUUGCUCGGCAUUCAGGAUGAAGAAGCAAAUUGGAUUAGACAUUGAUUUUGUGGGAAAAGCUAGAGAGUGGUAAAAGAUGGUUGCAUCUCUGACUGAAGGCCUGUGACUGGUGGUGUGCCACAGGGAUCAAUGCUGAGUCCAUUGUUGUAUGUCAUCUUUAUGAAUGAUCUGAAUGAUAGUGUAGGUAACUUGAUCAGCAAAUUUGUGGAUGACACCAAAUCGGGAAGCUUUCAAUUGGAUCUCGACCAGCUGGAAAACUGGGCUAAGAAUAGGGGAUGGAAUUUAAUGCAGACAAGUGCGAAGUUUGUACUUUGAGAAGACCAACCAGUGUAGUACUUGAAAAGUGAGUAGUAGGGUACUUUCUUUCUUUCUAAAUCUUUUUAUUAUUAUUAGUAAUAUGGACAGAAUACAAAUGAUAUAUUGAUAAAGAAAUUACCAACAUACAAAUUCCAUUACAUAUGAAAAAAAAGCAUAAACAAUAGUUACAAUAUAAAUGAGUUUACCAAGACAUAAGUCAUACAAUAUAUGUAUGAGCAUGGUAAGUCUAAAUAUUUCAUAAUAUAUGAUAUAAAAAAAACAGAGAAAAGAAAGAAAAAAAAAUAUAUAUAAUACAAAACUAGCUAAUCUACUAAUCUAAUAACUAAUAACUAAUAUAGAAGAAAAAAGAAGCAAAAAAAGAGAGAAAAAAGGGGGCUGUUUAUAAUAUCUCACAAGAAUAAAUAUUCAUCAAUGCCAUCACUUCCGGUCCUCUCAACAUACAUAAGCUAAAAGCUGGGAAAUCAAAUGAACUUGGAACAGGGUCAUAUUACAUCAUAUGAAAAUGUUGAAUAAAUGGUCUCCAUAACUUUUCAAAUUUAAUAAAAGUCUCAAAAACACCACUUCUAAUUUUUUCUAAAUUUAAACAUAACAUAGUUUGAGAGAACCAAUUAAAUACAGUGGGAGGAUUAAUUUCCUUCCAAUUCAACAAUAUCGAUCUUCUAGCCAUCAGAGUUAGAAAUGCAAUCAUUCGAUAGGCAGAAGAUAAAUGCAGUGAGUCUAACAUUGGUAAACCAAAAAUUGCAGUAAUAGGAUGAGGUUGUAAAUCAAUAUUCAAAACCGCAGAAAUAAUAUCAAAAAUAUCUUUCCAAUAUUUCUCCAAAAAUGAACAAGACCAAAACAUAUGAGUUAAAGAUGCAAUUUCAGAUUGACAUCUAUCACAAAUAGGACUAAUAUGAGAGUAAAAAUGAGCUAAUUUAUCCUUGGACAUAUGGGCCCUAUGUACGACCUUAAAUUGUAUUAAUGAAUGUUUGGCACAUAUCGAUGAUGUAUUUACUAAUUGAAGAAUUCUAUCCCAAUUCUCACUAGAAAUAAUAGGGUUAAGCUCUCUUUCCCAAUCCUUUUUGGUCUUAUAAAGGGGCUCUGAACGUAUCUUCAUAAUUUUAUUAUAAAGUUUUGAAAUAAGCCCUUUUUGAAAAGGGUCUAAUUCAAAUAAACUCUCCAAAAUAUCUGAAGGCACAAAAUUUGGAAACAUAGGAAGUACAGAACUUAAAAAAUGUCUAAUCUGUAAAUAUCUAAAAAAAUGAAAUCUAGGCAAGUUAUAUUUGUUGGAUAAUUGCUCAAAAGACAUAAAACAAUUGUCCAAAAAUAAAUCAGAAAAUCUUAGUAAUCCCUUAGUUUUCCAAGCUGAAUAAGCUUGAUCUAUAAUGGAAGGGUGGAAAAAACAAUUAGAUACAAUAGGACUAUUUAAAACGAAUUGAGUCAACCCAAAAAAUCUCCAAAAUUGAAACCAUAUACGUAAAGUAUGUUUAACUAUCGGGUUGUCAAUUCGUUUCGGCAAUUUAGAAAGAGCAAAAGGGAGAGAAGUCCCUAAAAUAGAACCCAGAGCAUAAGCUGAUACAGAUUUAAUUUCUAAACUCACCCAACGAGGGCCGAAAGAUCCACCCCCAUCUUUCAACCAGCAUAACAAGUAUCUAAUAUUAACUGCCCAGUAGUAGGGUACUGAGGAAUGUACUGGAACAAAGGGAUCUGGGAGUACAGAUCCAUAAUUCCUUCAAAGUAGUGUCACAGGUAGAUAGAGCCAUAAAGCAAGCUUUUGGUACAUUGGCCUUCAUAAAUCAGGGUAUUGGGUACAGAAGUUAUGUUGAAGUGUGUAAGACAUAGAUGAGGCCUAAUUUGGAGUACUGUGUCCAGUUCUGGUCAUCUACCUACAAGAAAGAUGUAAAUAAGAUUGAAAGAGUGCAGAGAAACUGUGCAAGGAUAUUGCCAGGACUUGAUGACCUGAUUAUGGGGAAAGGAUGAAAAGAUUAAGAUUUUAUUCCCUGAGUUUAGGAGAAUGAGAGGAGAUUUGGUAGAGGUUUACAAAAUUAUGAGGGGUUUAUUUAGAGUAAAUGCAAACAAGCUUUUUCCACUAAUGUGUGAAACUAGAACCAGAGGUCACAGGUUGAGGGUGAAAGCUGAACUAUUUAAAGGGAACCUUGAGGUUGUGAGUGUCGAAUGAGCUGCCAGUGGAAGUGGUGGAUGCAGGUUUGGUUGACAUCAAUGGAACUGGAGUUGAGAGGGAGAACAGCUUUAAGUUCCUUGGCAUACACAUCACCAAGGAUCUCACAUGGUCUGUACAUACCGGCUGUGUGGUGAAAAAGGCACAACGGCGCCUCUUUCACCUCGGACAGUUGAAGAAGUUCGGUAUGGGCCCCCAAAUCCUAGAAAUUUCUAUAGGGGCACAACUGAGAGCAUCCUGACUGGCUGCAUCACUGCCUGGUAUGGAAAAUGUACUUAGCUCAAUCGCAGGACUCUGCAGAGGGUGCUGUGGACAGCCCAGUGCAUCUAUAGAUGUGAACUUCCCACUAUUCAGGACAUCUACAAAGACAGGUGUGUAAAAAGGUCCCAAUAGAUCAUUGGGAACCCAAGUCACCCCAACCACAAUCUAUUCCAGCUGCUACCAUCCAGGAAACAGUACCGCAGCAUUAAAGCCAGGACCAACAGGCUCUGGGACAGCUUCUUGCACCAGGCCAUCAGACUGAUUAACUCACGCUGACACAACUGUACUUCUAUGUUAUACUGACUGUCCUGUUUACAUACUAUUUAUUACAAAUUACUAUAAAUUGCAUAUUGUACACUUAGAUGGAGAUGUAAAUAUUUUUAUUCCUCAUUUAUGUGAAGGAUGUAAGUAAUAGUCAAUUCAAUUGUUAAGGAAGGUGUAGAUAAGUACAUGGAUAGGGGAGAUAUGGAAGGUAAUGGUCCCAAUGCAGGUUGAUCUGCCGAGGAAGAAUAACAGUUCAUAACUGACUAGAUGGACCAAAGGGCCAUUUACUGUGCUGUAGUCCUCUUUGACUCUAUGUCAUCGUUCCUGUGAUCUCAAGUGCUGCAGAAAAUUCUGACAGACACCAGUUGUUUUUAAAAUCAACAAAUCCACAAAUAACUGUUGCUGUGAUUUCAAGUUGUGCAUAAAGUCCCAACAGGCCCCACCUGCUACAAAAACCAAGCACUCCAUUAUUGGUCCCUUGCACACAUAAAGUGCUAUAUGUGAAGGAUAGGGAGGAACAUGAAAUGGUACAGUAUCUGUAACCUGUAAACUUUAAAAGGCAGGACUUCUUUUCAGAGCGGGCAGCGGAGUCCGUGGAAGCAGAGUCCUGGGCUUUGGCUAAGUGGCCUUCGGUAAGCUUGUGUGAUUGCUCGCUGAGGGGAAGAAGGUAAGGUCGCUCGGUGCUUUUUAGACUUAUUCCAUUAAUCCAGUUCAGGUAUGGGGGAGACAGUCAGAGCAGUGGUGUGCUCCGUAUGCAGUAUGUGGGAGGUCAGGGUCAACACAGUUGUCCCUGAUGACCACACCUGCAAAAGGUGCGUCCAGCUGCAGCUCCUAUCAGACCGAGUUAGGGAGUUGGAGCAGGAGCUGGAUGAACUACGGAUCAUUCGGGAGGUGGAGGCAGAGAUAGAUAGUUAUCAGGAGGUAGUCACACCAAAAAUCCAAGAAGUAGGCAGAUGGGUGACAGUCCAGAGAGGCAGGGGGAGCAGGCAGAGAGAGCAGAGCACCCCUGCGGCCAUUCCCAUUAACAAUAAGUAUACCGUACUGGAUACUGUUGAUGGGGAUGACCUACCAGGAAUUAGUUGUAGUGGUCCUGCCUCUGGCACAGAGGUUGAACCCUCAACUAGAAAGGGGAGGAGGGAAGAGAAGAGAGCGAUAGUUUUAGGGGACACUAUAGUUAGGGGGGCAGAUAGGAGAUUUUGUGGGGCAGAUCGGGAGUCUCGGAGGGUAUGUUGCCUCCCUGGUGCCAGGGUCUGGGACAUCUCAGAUCGGGUGCAGGCUAUUCUUGAGAGUGAGGGCAUGAACCCAGAUGUAGUGGUCCAUGUAGGGACCAAUGAUGUAGGUAAGGUGAGUGAGGGGGUCCUGCUUAGAGAGUUCAGGGAGUUAGGAGUGAAGCUGAAAGGCAGGACCUCCAGGGUGACAAUCUCGGGAUUGCUACCUAUGCCACGUGCGAGUGAGGCGAAGAAUAGAAUGAUUAUGCACAUUAAUACGAGGCUGAGAGCAUGGUGCAGGAAGGAAGGGUUCAGGUUUUUGGAUAAUUGGUCUUUGUUCCAGGGACAUUGGGAUCUGUUUCGAAGGGAUGGUCUACAUCUGAACCGGAGGGGUACUAACAUUCUUGCAGGAGUAUUUGCCAGUGCUGCUCGGGGGGGUUUAAACUAGAUGUGCAGGGGGCAGGGAUCCAGAUCCAGAGGGUUGGUCAGAAGGUGCAUGGGGUUAAAUGUGUAGAAGGUUUGGGUGAUCUUGAGAAGGUCAUCAAAAUUCAGGGUGCAAUUUGCCCGAUGGAAGUUCAAGGAGCUGGGUUAGGUACAGUAGACAGUGUUUUAAGCAAAGAGAGGAGGAAUGGGCUAAGAAUUCUAUACUUGAAUGCGCGUAGUGUCAGAAAUAAGACAGAUGAGCUUGAAGCUCAGAUGAAAAUGGGGAACUACGAUAUUGUUGGGAUAACGGAGACAUGGCUGCAAGGGGAUCAGGCCUGGGAAUUGAGUGUACCAGGGUAUACGUGCUAUCGUAGAGACAGAAAUAUGGGAAGAGGGGGUGGGGUGGCCCUGUUGGUGAGGAAUGAGAUUAGCAAGAGGUGACUUGGGAACAGGGGAAGUAGAGUCUGUGUGGAUUGAGCUGAGGAACAGUAAGGGUAAAAAGACCCUAAUGGGUGUUGUGUACAGGCCACCAAACAGUAGCGUGGAUAUUGGGUACAAGUUGAUUAGGGAGUUAACAUUGGCAUGUGCUAAAGGUAAUGCAGUCGUUAUGGGAGAUUUCAACAUGCAGGUGGACUGGGAGAAUCAGGUAGGUGCUGGACCCCAGGAUAGGGAGUUUGUGGAGUGUCUAAGGGAUGUAUUUUUGGAACAGCUUGUGCUUGAGCCAACCAGGAACGAGGCUAUUUUGGACUUGGUGAUGUGUAAUGAACAGGAAUUGAUAAGUGAUCUUGAAGUAAAGGAGCCAUUAGCAAGUAGUGAUCAUAACAUGAUAAGUUUUUAUCUACAAUUUGAGAGGGAUAGGGGCAGAUCAGAGGUGUCAGUGUUGCAAUUAAAUAAAGGAGACUACAGAGCCAUGAGGGAUGAGCUGGCCAAAGUUAAAUGGGCGGAUGCCCUGGCAGGAAAGACAGUGGAUCAGCAGUCGCAGAUAUUCUUGGGCAUAAUACAAAAGAUGCAAAUGCAGUUCAUUCCAAUGAGAAGGAAGGAUUCAAAGAGUGGGAAGGGGCCACAGUGGUUGACAAAGGAAGUCAGAGAUUGUAUAGCAUUAAAGAAAAAGAAGUAUGACAGGGCUAAGAUGAGUGGGAAUACAGAUGAUUGGGAAAGUUUUAAGGAACAGCAGAUCUUAACUAAAAAAGCAAUACAGAGAGAAAAAAUCAGGUAUGAGCUCAGUCUAGCCAGGAAUAUAAAAGGGGAUAGCAAAAGCUUUUUUAGCUAUGUGAAGAGAAAGAAGAUAGUUAAGAACAAUAUUGGCCCCUUGAAGAAUGAAUUGGGAGAAAUUGUUAUGGGAAACAGGGAAAUGGCAACAGAAUUUAAUGCAUACUUUAGAUCUGUCUUCACCAGGGAGGACACAAGCAAUCUCCCAGAUGUAUGGAUGGGCCAGGGUCAUAAGAUAUCAGAGGAAUUGAGACAGAUUGACAUUAGGAAAGAAACUGUGAUGAGUAGACUGGUAGGACUGAAGGCUAAUAAAUCCCCGGGUCCAGAUGGUCUGCAUCCGAGGGUUCUAAAAGAGGUGGCUCAGGAAAUUGCGGAUGCAUUGGUAAUCAUUUUCCAAUGUUCCUUAGAUUCGGGAUCAGUUCCUGAAGAUUGGAGAGUGGCUAAUGUUUUCCCACUUUUCAAGAAGGGAGGGAAGGAGAAAACGGAGAACUAUCGCCCUGUUAGCCUAACGUCAGUCGUGGGGUAGAUGCUUGAGUCCAUUAUUAAGGACAAAAUAGUGGCACAUCUAGAUGGCAGAAAUAGGAUUAGGCCGAGCCAGCAUGGAUUUACCAAGGGCAAAUCAUGCUUGACUAAUCUGUUGGAGUUUUUUGAGGGUGUAACAAGGAUGUAAGCCGGUAGAUGUUGUGUACCUAGAUUUUCAGAAGGCAUUCGAUAAGGUGCCACAUAGGAGAUUGGUGAGUAAAAUCAGAGCUCAUGGCAUUGGGGGCAGGGUUUCAGCAUGGAUAGAAAACUGGUUGGCAGAUAGAAAGCAAAGGGUAGCAGUGAAUGGGUGUUUCUCAGACUGGCUGGAGGUGACUAGUGGGGUACCACAGGGCUCUGUAUUGGGACCACGAUUUAUGUCAAUGAUUUAGAUGAGGGCAUUGAAAACUAUAUCAGCAAGUUUGCUGACGAUACUAAACUGGGUGGCAGUGUGACAUGCGAAGAGGACGUUAGGAGAAUACAGGGAGACUUGGAUAGGCUGAGUGAGUGGGCAGAUACUUGGCAGAUGUCAUUCAAUGUGAAUAAAUGUGAAGUUAUCCACUUUGGAAGCUGAAACAAGAGGGCAGAGUAUUGUCUGAACGGUGUCGAGUUAGGUAAGGGAGAAAUGCAAAGAGACCUAGGAGUCCUAGUUCACCAGUCAAUGAAGGUGAAUGAGCAAGUGCAACAGGCAGUGAAGAGGGCAAAUGGAAUGUUGGCCUUUGUUACAAGGGGAAUUGAAUACAAGAGCAAGGAUGUUCUUUUGCAUUUGUACAGGGCCCUGGUGAGACCACACCUGGAAUAUUGUGUACAGUUUUGGUCUCCAGGUUUAAGGAAGGACAUUCUGGCAAUUGAGGAAGUGCAGCGUAGAUUCACUAGGUUGAUUCCUGGGAUGGCAGGGCUGUCUUACGCAGAGAGAUUGGAGAGAUUGGGCUUGUACACACUGGAAUUGAGGAGAUUGAGAGGGGAUCUGAUUGAAACGUUUAAGAUAAUUAAAGGAUUUGAUAGGAUUGAGGCAGGAAAUAUGUUCCAGAUGUUGGGAGAGUCCAGUACCAGAGGGCAUGGAUUGAGAAUAAGAGGUCAGUUAUUUAAAACAGAGUUGAGGAAGAGCUUCUUCUCCCAGAGAGUUGUGGAGGUGUGGAAUGCACUGCCUCGGAAGACGGUGGAGGCCAAUUCUCUGGAUGCUUUCAAGAAGGAGCUGGAUAGAUAUCUGAUGGAUAGGGGAAUCAAGGGAUAUGGGGACAAGGCAGGGACUGGGCAUUGAUAGUGAAUGAUCAGCCAUGAUCUCAGAAUGGCGGUGCAGACUCGAGGGGCCGAAUGGUCUACUUCUGCACCUAUUGUCUAUUGUCUAUUGUCUGUUCCCUAACUGGUUAAACGUUAUUUUAUCAUUAUUAGAUAUUGAUAUUUUAUUGAUAUUAGAUAUUUAUUAUUAGAUAAUAAAUGUUAUUAGAUCAAUGCCCAGGUUGGCCAUCUCCUUUAAAUCUGAUAAUGCAGCAAGAUAGCCAGAAUCCCUGAAGGUCGAUUAGUUAAUAGUAUACAUAUAAGGUAAUGAUAUCAUAAAUUAUUAAAAAGCCUUGCUAUUUGCUUUCCAUUACAAAUAUACUGUUGAUCUAAUGCAAUGAAUACUGAUUGAAUCUUUGUCAGGAAUGAGAAUCCUUAGAUAUGGAAGUCUCAUAUACCCAGCUGCACUGAAGUUUUAAAGAAUGGGAGAUGUUUUUGUCAAAACAGAUAAGAAUUUCAAAGAUUCACUGGGAGAAAAUAAUUUCCCUCACAUUUCCAUAUUAAUGAGAUAGUUUGUUAUUUUCAAGCUGUGCUCUCUCCUUCAAGAUUCCUCCACUAGGAGAACAAGCUCCCAGCAUUUAUCUUGACAAGUGGCCUCAGAACAGUGGGAGAUGUCACAGAACACAUUCAGGGCUGAAAAUGACAGAUUUUUGGAUUCUGGAGUUAUGGAGAUAACCAGGAAAAUGGAGCCAAGGCCAGAAUUACAUUAGCUUUGAUGUUGAUUCACUGUAGAGCAGGUUUAAGGGUCUGAAAGGCUUAUCCAAGUUCUUAUUCCUUGUGUUCUUUUGUUUCAAAGUCACUCCAGAUUUUAGCCCCAGAAAGAGGCAAAGAGGCAAACCAAAACAUUGUUAUAUUGAUUGAAUGUACCUAUGAUAUAACUACAGGUUGAACCUAUAGGCAAUUUUAACAUGGAUAGUUGUGUUGUAGUCUUCACCUAGCCAUAAGGUGUUUACUUGGAAAAUUGUACAGCAUUUCCCCCACAUAGAUGUCCAUAACUCAAAUGGGCUUGGGCACGAAACGACUUUUUUUUUUUGCAUGGACGCUGCCUGGCCUGCUGAGUUCCUCCAGCAUUUUGUGUGUGGCACUCAAUAUUUGCACCAAUAAUUAUGGAUAACACUAGGAAUUCAUAAUUUCUGUGAGAUAGUGUUCCACAGAGUAGAACAAUAGUGGAAUGGCAUGUUAUAUAUGUUCCAAAUGACCCUAAAUGUGCACUAUUAACCAGAAGCAUUACAUCUGGUUAUAUCUGGUUAUAUAUGCAAGGGCCAGUGGUGAAUUAAUUUCUGUUAUAUCGAGGGAACAUCUAUGCAAUGAGUGACAAACUAAACUGGUAAAGUUAAUGGGUCUCCAUACUUAUGGCUGAAUUUCCUAAUCAUUCUUUGGUGGGUCAAAAACUUUCAAGCCAGUUAAAAAUUGCAUGAAGAAGUUGAGGCUAAACUAAAAAAAAGGAUUUUCAACUAUUCUUACCAAUACAUAAUAUUUUUUCAACAUUUCCAUAAUUGCUAUCAAUGAAGUCUUUGCAAGACAUUCUUCCUAUGAAUCACAGAGAUAGAUCCUUUAACCCAACUCAGUGAUGCUGAUCAAGAUGUCCCAUUUGUCUGCAUUUAGCUCCCAUUUUCAAUCCAUGUACCUGCCCAAAUGUUUUGUUUAAGCAUUGUAACUGUACCUGCCUCUACAAUUUCGUCUGGCACUUCAUUCCAAGUCCACCACCCGCUGUGAGUAAAAAGUUGCCCCUCAGGUCUCUUUUUAAAUAUUUCCCUUCUCACCUUAAACUUUGUUGUCCAGUUUUAGAUUCCCCUGGCUUGGGAAAAGGACUGAUCACACAUCAUAUCCAUAUCACUCAUGAUUUUAUAUACAUCUAAAAGAUCACCCCCUCAGUCUUCUGUGCUACAGAGUAAAAAGUCCCAGCUACACGAUAAUGUGUUUCCAUAAAGGUCAAAACCUUGAACCGAGGAGGCAGUAAGAAUGAUCCAUUUGUGGUUUAGAGUGGGGGCUCCCAAGCUUUUUUAUACCAUUAACUGAAGGGUCCAUGAACACCAGGUUGGGAACCUCUGCUCUAAACCAUAAACUGAUCAUUCUUAACUGUCCCUAAGGUCACACAUAAGGCUGACUGACUAAUGAUAUUAGACUUCCUUCUCCAAAGGACAUUAGUGAAUCAAACAGAGUUUCCAUAAUUUCAUGGUUACCUUUGAUAAGAAUGGCUUUACUUUAAAUUCCUGAUUUAUUUAAUUACUUGAAUUUCAAUUCCCCAGUUGCCAUGGAAUGUUUUAAAUUGUUGUCUCUGGGGCAAUGCUUUGGAACUCUGACCGCUUGUCCAGUAACUUAACCAUCAAAAUCAAUGGGACUGCAGUUGCAGAGGGUGAGUAGUUUCAAGUUCCUUGAUAUACACAUCACCAAAGAGCUCACCUGGACUGUACACACCUGCUAUGUAGCAAAAAAAAAGCACAACAGUGUCUCAUCCACCUCAGGUGACCAAAGAAGUUCGACAUGAGCCCCCAGAUCCUCAAGACCUUCUACAGGGGCACCAUUGAGAGCAUCCUGACUGGCCAUAUCAGCGCCUGGUACGGGAACUGCACCAACCUUGAUCACUGGGCACCGCAGAGAGUGGUUCAGACAGCCCAGCGCAUCUGUAGAUAUGACCUUCCCUCUAAUGUGGACAUUUACAGCAGCAGGUGUGUAAACAAGGCCUGGAAGUUCAUCAGGGACACCAGUCAUCCCAACCAUAAACUGUUCCAGCUGCUUCCAUCUGGCAAACAGUACCACAGCAUUAAAGCCAGGACCAACAAUGGGACAGCUUCUUUCUACAAACCAUCAGACUUUUAAAUUCGCAUGUCUGUACAUUGUGAUGGAGUCUUAAUGCAAAGAUUUUUAUUCCCUCACGUUGCUGGAUGGAUGUGGUACCUUCCCUUAUACUAUUGGCAGGAUUGAACAUGGAUAUAACGUCCGUCCUGAUCUAUGUGCCAGAGAGAACAAGAUAAAUCCUCGGAAAUACC